rnacentral:lncRNA from 1 species
ACUCACCUGUCAAUCUGGCACAGCCCUGAUACGCCUCCAAAAAUCUACAGCUGGCAGUGGGAAACUUCUUCCUCUUGUUCCCUAGCUUCUUGCCCAACUGUGACAUGUAUUUACAAUACAUUUAGUCCUGUAUCAAGGGCUAUAAUCUACGUGCCAAUUAUAAUAUAGGGAACUUUAAUUGAUUCAACUCCCCCGUUUCCUAAAUCUUUUCUUUUCUUUCUUUUUUUCUUUUUCUAUUAAUUAACUCAUCAUUUAUGUAUACCAGGGAUUCCCUUGCAUGAGUACAAGGUCCCUUUUAGCUUGAUCUAGGCUUAAUACUCUAUUAUAGCAUGAAAUCCCUUAUUUUCCACCCAGAUGAACAGUAAUCCGGACCGACAGCCGGUUACUUCAUCCCGGGUUUGAUCCACUUUUCAGACUCCAAAUUUGAUGAAAUUUUUACCUAACAUUCUACACUCAUAGAGAAUUCCAAAGAGGUAACAUGCAUUGCUAUCGGAGGUCGUUUGACCCCCUAAAUAAUUCGCCGAAGUUGGAACUGCGACACAGUUUUUCCGUAGUGCCGGAAAAAUUUGUCAAAAUCCGAUUCUUCCUCUUUUAACCGCCUCUACAACCCUUAUCCGACCCCUCUAGACUACAUCCACCCUUUGUAUAGCCUAAUAUCAUCAAAAGACUAGAUAGGGACGGAUAUUUACCUUUUUCUUUUUGAAAAUCGAGGUCCUUGCGUAGAGGGGAAGGAGAUCUACGUUUUUCCCUUCAGCUGGAAGUGCAACCGGAAUCCCUCUCUUUCUCGAAUCCCCUUCCUCUUCUUCUUUCUUCUUCUUCUUCUUCUCUUUUUCUUUCUUUCUUUCCUCUCUGUUUC